rnacentral:lncRNA from 1 species
CCCUAAGGGCUUUCAGUGGCCUUUGCUCUCUACUGUGCCUGAUCUUAUUUUAGAGUUCAUGAUACCCUCCUGAGAAAGUGCUGCAUAUUCAUCCCAUUCCAAUGCAGAUCUGUCUCCUUCCAAAUGAGUUCUCUCAUUAGCAAUGGCUAUAGCCCUUGACAGUUUAGAGUAACUGUUUUACUUUCAGAUACCUAAAGUUUAAUGAGAUAAAUCUCACCCAACGUGCAGUCCUACAGUGCUUCAGGAGCCACUGCAGCCCAGAGUUAAUGCCAUUGUGUCUCCGCAUGGCAGGAGCUGGCACUGCAAGCUCCCUGGCACAGGCACUGCCUCUGUUUAGGGCUUUAAGUCACCUCUAUUGCCCCUAAACUCUAUCAUCACCAUCACAGCAAUUAGUGUUAGUAGGACCUCGUAAAGACAGAAUAAAUCACUGAGAUAACUGGUAGAAAUUAGACAGCAUAUGCACUUGUCCCUUGUAGGUGAUGAAUGUUAAAACUGUUAAAAGGAAGAGUGACAAUAUUUGCUAUUAAAAGUACAUGAGAAUUUUUGGUUCUUGUCCAGUGGAAGGAUAUGAGCCUUAAAUCACAUGUUUUUCUGGAUUCUUGUGAGAAAAAAAUAUGGCCUGCAAUCUAACAAUAGUUGUUUUACAGUGGCAGUAGUUUAUUUUCUAGUCCCUCAUGUCACUAACAUAACCAAAUCCUCCCACAGCUCCUCCAAGGGGAAGAUUUGCUAGGGUUGGCCAAAACAUUGGACAUGGACCCUGGCACAUCUGCUCGUUGGGCUGAGAACAAGCUGCUCUCUCUGGGAAGACCAAUAACAGCAGAGUUCAGUGACCAUAACUUGGAAAAGCCUCUAUCCUCCAUAGCAGACUGAUCACAGCUUACCUUGGUUCUUCUUAUUUGUUCUUAUUUAUUUAUAUGCACACACAAUAUCUGCUCAAACAAUUUUUUUUCCCCACCCAGGAAAGCACUGUGCUUGGCAGUCUGUGGGCCAGUUUCCCUGGCAAACCCAGCUCACCAGCUGCUUUCACUCUGCCUGUGCAGACUGUUCUGGCUUUACACCACUACCAUUGAGCAGAUAUCUG